CGGUAAUACGUAGGGUGCAAGCGUUAAUCGGAAUUACUGGGCGUAAAGGGUGCGCAGGUGGUUAUACAAGACUGACGUGAAAUCCCCGGGCUCAACCUGGGAAUGGCGUUGGUGACUGUAUGACUAGAGUGUGGCAGAGGGGGGUGGAAUUCCACGUGUAGCAGUGAAAUGCGUAGAGAUGUGGAGGCACCCCGAUGGCGAAGGCAGCCCCCUGGGCUAACACUGACACUCAUGCACGAAAGCGUGGGGAGCAAACAGGAUUAGAUACCCUGGUAGUCCACGCCCUAAACGAUGUCAACUGGUUGUUGGGGAUUUCGAUUCUUAGUAACGUAGCUAACGCGAGAAGUUGACCGCCUGGGGAGUACGGUAGGCAAGGUUAAA
rnacentral:rRNA from 1 species